AACAUCGCGCACCUGCGGGAACCUGCGGAAGGAUCAUUACAGAGUUCGUGCCCUCGCGGGUAGAUCUCCCACCCUUGUGUAUUCCUUACAUUUUGUUGCUUUGGCAGGCCGUUGGUUCGCCAACCACCGGCUCUACGGGCUGGUGCGUGCCUGCCAGAGGACCCCCCAAACUCGGUUUGUUAGUGUCGUCUGAGUAACCAUAACAAUCGUUAAAACUUUUAACAACGGAUCUCAGAUCGG
rnacentral:misc_RNA from 1 species